ACAGCGCCGGCGACCACCCACAGCCGCCAGAUCCGGCCGCCCCUGCCCACCCCCGCCUUCUUGCAGCGCCGCCGGAGCACAAGACCCUAGCCGCCCCGGCCACGCACCGCCACCACGCCGUAGGAUCCCACGCCACGGGAUCCCGCUGCCGACCACCUUCGGAUCCAGCGAUCCCCGACCACGACCCCGCGCCGCCCUCCACCUCGCACACCGGAUCCGGGCCGUUGCGGAAGGCACCGAACCCCUGUCUUCCCCACCGCCCUCCUCCCUCCGGCACCGGCCAGCGCCACGCCCGAACCUCCCCGUCUAGGCGACGGCAGCGAUGUAGUGCUCCUCCGGUGAACUUGCAGAAGCCGGAACGAGCAGAUCCGGCGGUCUCCGUCCUGGGGAAGGUGGUUGGCCUCUGCCCCCCUUUUCCACGCCCUACCCUGUGGCAACACCACGAAGAUGGCGCUCGGGUGCAGUGCGCAUCUGCUCUUUGAGUUCUGAAGACGCGUGCGACAGCUCUUUGUCUUCGAUUUUGCAGUGCACACAGGCAGUCCUACUGUACACCUCCACACCGAGCUCCUUCAUCAUUCCCCCCCUCCGCCCUCUGCGCCCUGGGGUGUGGGCGGACGACCCGCGUCCUGCUGCCGCCGGUGAGGUUGCAGCUCACGCAGUGCACUUCAGUCCAGCAUGCGGUUUCCAUGUGCAUUUUUACAGUGCGUAUUGCUUUUUGUUGUGCCGGUGGGGAUGUAUGCAUGUUCAUGCAUGUCCUGACCUGACGAGCUGCAGGUCCGCCACCUAGGUGUUUAAACCACCGAGACACUCGAGCAGCUUCCGUGCAGUGCUCUUUGGCGAGCGGUUCGGCCCGCACGUUCCCGUGCAGUGCGGCAUGUGUGUUCGUGUAGUGCGGAAACAUCGGUGUUGUAUGUCGGCGGCAAGAGACAAGUAUACUGCACUAGGGGUGGAAGGCGUCAUACUUUUUUUAGUUCGUUAUAAGUGAAAAAAUGCGGCUCAGUUUGUCCUGUCACAGAGAUUUUUAUUUUAUUUUAUUAGAGGUUCGCACCUCUGUCCUAUGCAGUUCCUUUUGUUUUGAAGAAAAUAACAUUCAAAGAAAUGCAGCUCCAGAACAAAAAUAACA